GAGUUUGAUCCUGGCUCAGGAUUAACGCUGGCGGCGUGCCUAAUACAUGCAAGUCGAACGGAAGUACCUUCGGGUACUUUAGUGGCGAACGGGUGAGUAAUACAUAGGUAACCUACCCUUAAGACGAGGAUAGCCAUUGGAAACGAUGGAUAAAACUGGAUAGGAUAUAGAGGAAGAAUCUUUUAUAUUUAAAAGAGAGAUCUGCUUAAGGAGGGGCCUGUGGCGCAUUAGCUAGUUGGUGGGGUAAGGGCCUACCAAGGCGAUGAUGCGUAGCCGGACUGAGAGGUUGAACGGCCACAAUGGAACUGAGAACGGUCCAUACUCCUACGGGAGGCAGCAGUAGGGAAUUUUCGGCAAUGGGGGGAACCCUGACCGAGCAACGCCGCGUGAACGAAGAAGUUAUUCGUAAGGAAAAGUUCUUUAUCAUGAAGAAAG
rnacentral:rRNA from 1 species